AGACAAUUAGGUUUCCAACAUAAUCGAUUCGGGCAAGAAGGUACGAUGUAUUCUGAGCUACUCUCAAUUCGUCAAAUUUCCUACUGAAAUUAUUGUGCUAUCCAAUUUACUUUGAUUGAUUGAUACAUCUUCUGGAAAAUUCAGGAAAUGAUUCGUCAAAUUUGAAAUUUUCAUCUCUGUUCGCUUUCAUUCAUGCUGGUGCAGGUGCACCCACGUUGACUGUGUAGCAAUUGAUAACUGAAGUUUCAUUAUUUUUCAUCUGUCGUGUUGGUAUGAGCUGUAUUUUUAUAAGUGGUGCUUUGUUACAGUAAA
rnacentral:lncRNA from 1 species